AAAAGCACCUCUUAAAUAGUGAUCCGUAAAAUGAGGUUCAUAUAAAAUUUUUCACUAUAUGCUGGAAAAUCUUAAAGCUUUAAGUACCUCAAUGGUAACAAUCUUAAAGAUAUUACAAUAGACAAUCAGCAGGAAACCAACAUAAUUCUAUUAUUUUUAGUAGGAUCCUCAGAGACUACACGUGAAACACCGUAUUUUUAUUAAGAAUACGCUGAAGAUAUAGUCCGCCCCACUUCGAAAGAUGUGG
rnacentral:ncRNA from 1 species